UACGGAGGGUGCAAGCGUUAUCCGGAUUCACUGGGUUUAAAGGGUGCGUAGGUGGGAAAGUAAGUCAGUGGUGAAAUCUCCGUGCUUAACACGGAAACUGCCAUUGAUACUAUUUUUCUUGAAUUUUCUGGAGGUCAGCGGAAUAUGUCAUGUAGCGGUGAAAUGCUUAGAUAUGACAUAGAACACCAAUUGCGAAGGCAGCUGACUACAGGGAUAUUGACACUGAGGCACGAAAGCGUGGGGAGUCAAACAGGAAUU
rnacentral:rRNA from 1 species